UACGUAGGGGCAAGCGUUGUCCGGAAUCACUGGGCGUAAAGGGCGCGUAGGCGGUCUUUCAAGUCAGGAGUGAAAGGCUACGGCUCAACCGUAGUAAGCCUUUGAAACUGGGAAACUUGAGUGCAGGAGAGGAGAGUGGAAUUCCUAGUGUAGCGGUGAAAUGCGUAGAUAUUAGGAGGAACACCAGUUGCGAAGGCGGCUCUCUGGACUGUAACUGACACUGAGGCACGAAAGCGUGGGGAGCAAACAGGAUUAGAUACCCUGGUAGUCCCU
rnacentral:rRNA from 1 species